rnacentral:rRNA from 1 species
GACGAACGCUGGCGGCGUGCUUAACACAUGCAAGUCGAACGGAAAGGCCCCUUUGGGGGUACUCGAGUGGCGAACGGGUGAGUAACACGUGAGUAACCUGCCCUUGACUUCGGGAUAACUUCAGGAAACUGGGGCUAAUACCGGAUAGGAAUCCUUGCUGCAUGGUGGGGGUUGGAAAGCUUCGGCGGUUUUGGAUGGACUCGCGGCUUAUCAGCUUGUUGGUGGGGUAGUGGCUUACCAAGGCUUUGACGGGUAGCCGGCCUGAGAGGGCGACCGGCCACAUGGGGUGUGGGACGCGUCGAAGACGCCGGGGGGAGGAAGAGGUGGGAAGUAUGGCACAACGGGCGGGAGCCAGGUGCAGCACCGGGGCGUGGGGGAUGACGGGCUUGGGUGUGUAGCCCGUUUUGGGCGGGGGUGAUGGUUGGGGGGACGGUACAUGAAGAAGAAGCACCGGCGAACGACGUGGCAGCAGCGGGGGGAAUCGGCGAAGGAGCACCGUCUGAAC